AUCAUGCUGUUUAAGCCAGAUUUGCAGUUCGGGACACAACAUUCUCAAAAUCUGUUCCAAAAAGAUCUUUCUGCAGGUUUCACCCCCUUUUAGAACAAAUCCUUCAACCGGACGUGCAAUUGCUUAGGAGUUUCUUCCAUCAGCACCUCCAUGGAACGAAACCACUGACGAUAGUCAUCGUAGCCACCAGAUCCAGUCUGUGUCCAGAUCAGAGGGUCACUGCAGUCACCCGGAUCCAGUACGUAUCCAGACCAGAUGGUGGAUCAGCAUCUAGAAAGGACCUCUACAGCCCUGAAAGACAGCGGAGACCAGGACAACUAGAGCCCCAGAUACAGAUCCCCUGUAAAGACCUUGUCUCAGAGGAGCACCAGGACAAGACCACAGGAAACAGAUGAUUCUUCUGCACAAUCUGACUUUGCUGCAGCCUGGAAUUGAACUACUGGUUUCAUCUGGUCAGAGGAGAACUGGCCCCCCAACUGAGCCUGGUUUCUCCCAAGGUUUUUUUCUCCAUUCUGUCACCGAUGGAGUUUCGGUUCCUUGCCGCUGUCGCCUCUGGCUUGCUUAGUUGGGGUCACUUCAUCUACAGCGAUAUCGUUGACUUGAUUGCAAAUAAAUGCACAGACACUAUUUAAACUGAACAGAGAUGACAUCACUGAAUUCAAUGAUGAACUGCCUUUAACUGAAAACUGAGUGUUUAUUAUUCUCAUUUUGGAUUAUUGACACUAUUUUCCUAUUUAAUAAUGUGAAGUUGCGUUGAUACAAUCUGUGUUGUUAAAAGCGCUGUAUAAAUAAAGGUCACUCCUCCAAAUACAUUCUCUCAACUUUAAUCCUUGUUAAACCUCUGAAUACUAUCAAUGAUGCUGUUGCUUGGC